GAUGAAGAACGUAGCGAAAUGCGAUAAGUAAUGCGAAUUGCAGAAUUCAGUGAGUCAUCGAAUCUUUGAACGCACAUUGCGCCCUGUGGUAUUCCGCAGGGCAUGCCUGUUCGAGCGUCAUUUCAACCCUCAAGCUCUGCUUGGUGUUGGGCCCUGCCCGCUGCGGCCGGCCCUAAAGACAGUGGCGGUGCCGCCUGGCCCUGAGCGUAGUACAUCUCUCGCUCCAGUGCCCGGUGGUAGCCCGCCAGAACCCCAACUCUCGUGGUUGACCUCGGAUCAGGUAGGGAUACCCGCUGAACUUAAGCAUAUCAAUAAGCGGAGGA
rnacentral:misc_RNA from 1 species